UCAUGGAACAUAAAAAUUUUUUUCAUGAAAACAAAAAUAUCGAUGUGUUUGUAGAAGGCCUAUCCUAACUGAUGGUCGAACUCCAAAGGCCAAUUAAGUAACGGCCACAUGGGAAUAUCAGAGUAAAGCUAAGUUAUAAUGAAAGAGGGGCUCACCCUUGGCAAUCGAAGCAGACCAAGCAUUAAGGGACAAAGGAUCGGUCAAGCAUUAGGAUUUGACUUAACAAGCUGGGUCCGGAGGCC
rnacentral:lncRNA from 1 species